GCCUUCGUGGUGUAACGGUUAGCACACCCGGUGCAUAUUCGAGAGAUCCAGGUUCGAAUCUCGGCGAGGGCA
rfam:Stegodyphus mimosarum contig81802, whole genome shotgun sequence.